UACGAAGGGGGCUAGCGUUGCUCGGAAUCAUUGGGCGUAAAGCGCGUGUAGGCGGCCAGAAAAGUCCGCUGUGAAAACUCGAGGCUCAACUUCGAGCUGUCGGUGGAAACUUUCUGGCUAGAGUCCGGAAGAGGAGAAUGGAAUUCCUGGUGUAGCGGUGAAAUGCGCAGAUAUCAGGAAGAACACCCGUGGCGAAGGCGGUUCUCUGGGACGGUACUGACGCUGAGACGCGAAAGCGUGGGGAGCGAACAGG
rnacentral:rRNA from 1 species